rnacentral:rRNA from 1 species
UACGGGGGGGGCAAGCGUUGGUCGGAAUUACUGGGCGUAAAGGGCUCGUAGGCGGCCAACUAAGUCAGACGUGAAAUCCCUCGGCUUAACCGGGGAACUGCGUCUGAUACUGGUUGGCUUGAAUCCGGGAGAGGGAUGUGGAAUUCCAGGUGUAGCGGUGAAAUGCGUAGAUAUCUGGAGGAACACCGGUGGCGAAGGCGGCAUCCUGGACCGGUAUUGACGCUGAGGAGCGAAAGCCAGGGGAGCAAACGGG